ACAGACUGGCUCUUGGAUUAAGGCCUGAGGACGUUAUCCAUAGCGGGACCUGUAAGCUCACUUCUCUCAGUGAGGCGGUCUCUGGCAGAGCUGACACGAAUGAACAAGAAGAGCUGGAGUCCAUCAGCGCGGGAUCGGUUUUGCAGGCUGCCUGGUCCUUGGGACAAAGGCGCUCAGUAUGCUGCAGCGGUGCUUGGAGCCCUGCAGGACUGAAAAGCCCUUCAGAUGGUUGGAUGCAGACCCUUCCUCCAGAGCUGGACCCCACACUGCAAUACAGGAACCGGUGGCAACCCACCCAGGAGCCAGUCCUGCCUUCGCCCCUGACGUGCAGCUGCAAGGGAACAGGGACUUGCAGUAAGCCAGGGGCUGGUUCUCGCAGUCACCCCACCAGGUCUGUAGUUACACAUCCCGGCAGUUGUUGGCCAUGGACCAGGCAAUGCUGAUGGGAAAGGAGGUCUGCCAGGAUUUUCUCAAGUGGCUGGUUACCCUAGGCACUGAUGUUGUUGGCUGUCAGAUGUGCCUUGUGAGGGAGUCAACAACAGGAAGCUUGCAGGUGCAACGCUGGGCCGUAGCGUGCUGGAGUCGAGCGGUGAGCGCUUUCCUGCUCAGCCAGCCCGACGAGAGGACGGAGAAGAGAGCUUGGGGCAACCCCUUUCUGAGCCAUCCCAUCUCUGCAUUCCCGCACCCUAACCCUGAAAGAAAAAGCAGCGGUGCAGGGGGCCGGCACGGGUCCGUCCAGCGCCUGCAGGUGUGUUGGUGGGGAAGGGAAGGGUCUGUGAGCCCGUGCAGACACGGGGUGGCACACUGCGUGCACCGACUCCCAGGGUCCUAGGAAGCCGCUCAUAAGCAUUAUUUGUAAGGCCUUUCAGAGGCUAAUAAUUUGGUUAAAUCUGGAUAGAUUUUUGUGAGGAGAGUAGAAGACAUAUCCUUCAUCCUUUCGUGGACUGUACACCAAAUUUUGCACCUCUUUGUUCUAACAUAAUCCUGUUCCCACCCCAACAAAAUUGGUACAGUGGAAAAAACAUUUUUUUUCCCCUUGCCAAGCUCUUCCCUGGAAACGGCUGAAUUAAAUUUGAUCAAAGUUAUUAGCAACUAAAAC
rnacentral:lncRNA from 1 species